CUGAAGGGCGGUCAGAGCGGACGGACGGGGACGGCUGCCCACCACACUUGCGGGCCUUUGCCAGUGCUGGCUCCCCUUCCUUCACCCGCGGCCUCCGCCACAUCUCCAACCUUCUAGCUCCCGUCCCGAGAUCUCAGGUGUCAGUCGCUGGGAAGAUGUGACUAAUCCCCCCACCCAACACCCGGCCCGUCUCCGCCCUGGAGCGGCCACUCAUCCCAGCUGCCAACGACGUGUUCCUGUGCGUGUGAGCAGCCGCGGGGGUUGGCAUCUGCUCUGUGACGACGAGCUCUCCGAGGUGGGCUGUCUGCUCUGCCCACCGCCUCGCCACCGGUGCCCGUGCAGGAGACUCACACAGGAGUGUUUGUUGGUUGACUACACAAGAGGAUGCCCUAAACGGCACGUGUUCAUUCUGCCAAGUGGCUGAGAGAACCGAGCCUACGCGACCCGAAAUGUUAUGACAUCACGGCCACAUGAAGAGACAAUCAGGGUAUCCGGUUGAAAUGUAGAAAAAAGAGAAUUAUCGGGGCACCUGGGGGGCUCAGGCGGUUAAGC